GUGAGCCUGUUUCCUCGUGGCCCCCAGCGGAGGGGAGCCGCUGCGAAGGAAGGAGCUGGGCACUGAGCCCGCCAGGUGGGGCUGCGGCUGCCCGGCCGCCCUCGCGCUGGCUCUGCCUGACGGGAUCGCCCCGCGGGGACCCUGGCAGGUAGGCCUCGAGGUGCCCGCCUGCCCGUCCCAGCCCCGCAGGGUCUGUUUCCCCAGUGACGCCACCUCUGCCGAGCAGCCAGGAAACAAACAGUGUGAGG